rnacentral:rRNA from 1 species
UACGAAGGGGGGCUAGCGUUGUUCGGAAUUACUGGGCGUAAAGCGUGCGCAGGCGGUUAUGUAAGACAGUUGUGAAAUCCCCGGGCUCAACCUGGGAACUGCAUCUGUGACUGCAUAGCUAGAGUACGGUAGAGGGGGGAUGGAAUUCCGCGUGUAGCAGUGAAAUGCGUAGAUAUGCGGAGGAACACCGAUGGCGAAGGCAAUCCCCCUGGACCUGUACUGACGCUCAUGCA